rnacentral:rRNA from 1 species
UACGUAGGGUGCAAGCGUUGUCCGGAAUUAUUGGGCGUAAAGAGCUCGUAGGCGGUCUGUCGCGUCGGCUGUGAAAACUCGGGGCUCAACUCCGAGCUUGCAGUCGAUACGGGCAGGCUAGAGUUCGGCAGGGGAGACUGGAAUUCCUGGUGUAGCGGUGAAAUGCGCAGAUAUCAGGAAGAACACCCGUGGCGAAGGCGGCUCUCUGGAACGCAACUGACGCUGAGACGCGAAAGCGUGGGGAGCAAACAGG